GCAUAUCAAUAAGCGGAGGAAAAGAAACCAACAGGGAUUGCCCCAGUAACGGCGAGUGAAGCGGCAAGAGCUCAAAUUUGAAAUCUGGCCUCCCUUGGGGGGUCCGAGUUGUAAUUUGUAGAGGAUGCUUCGGGUGUGGCCGCCGUCUAAGUUCCUUGGAACAGGACGUCGUAGAGGGUGAGAAUCCCGUCUUGGGCGGCCGGUCCGCGCCCGUGUGAAGCUCCUUCGACGAGUCGAGUUGUUUGGGAAUGCAGCUCUAAGCGGGUGGUAAAUUUCAUCUAAAGCUAAAUACUGGCCGGAGACCGAUAGCGCACAAGUAGAGUGAUCGAAAGGUUAAAAGCACCUUGAAAAGGGAGUUAAACAGCACGUGAAAUUGUUGAAAGGGAAGCGCUUGCGGCCAGACUCGAGGGGCGGGGUUCAGCGGGUGCGCGUCACCCGUGCACUCCCCGUCCCCCCGGGCCAGCAUCAGUUUCGACGGCCGGUCAAAGGCCCCCGGAAUGUGUCGUCUCUAGGGACGUCUUAUAGCCGGGGGUGCAAUGCGGCCCGCCGGGACUGAGGAACGCGCUCCGGCUCGGAUGCUGGCGUAAUGGCCGUAAGCGGCCCGUCUUGAAACACGGACC
rnacentral:rRNA from 1 species